rnacentral:rRNA from 1 species
UACGUAGGGGGCAAGCGUUGUCCGGAAUCAUUGGGCGUAAAGCGCACGUAGGCGGCCCUGUAAGUCCGUUGUGAAAGUCAAAGGCUCAACCUUUGAAUGCCGAUGGAUACUGCAGGGCUAGAGUCCGGAAGAGGCGAGUGGAAUUCCUGGUGUAGCGGUGGAAUGCGCAGAUAUCAGGAGGAACACCAAUAGCGAAGGCAGCUCGCUGGGACGGUACUGACGCUAAGGUGCGAGAGCGUGGGGAGCGAACCGG